rnacentral:rRNA from 1 species
CCGUAGCCUGGUAGCGGGGGGUAACUAUUGGAAACGAUAGCUAAUACCGCAUAAGAGUAGAUGUUGCAUGACAUUUGCUUAAAAGGUGCAAUUGCAUCACUACCAGAUGGACCUGCGUUGUAUUAGCUAGUUGGUGGGGUAACGGCUCACCAAGGCGACGAUACAUAGCCGACCUGAGAGGGUGAUCGGCCACACUGGGACUGAGACACGGCCCAG